rnacentral:rRNA from 1 species
GAUGAACGCUGGCGGCGUGCCUAAUACAUGCAAGUCGAGCGAACAGAUAAGGAGCUUGCUCCUUUGACGUUAGCGGCGGACGGGUGAGUAACACGUGGGUAACCUACCUAUAAGACUGGAAUAACUCCGGGAAACCGGGGCUAAUGCCGGAUAACAUUUAGAACCGCAUGGUUCUAAAGUGAAAGAUGGUUUUGCUAUCACUUAUAGAUGGACCCGCGCCGUAUUAGCUAGUUGGUAAGGUAACGGCUUACCAAGGCAACGAUACGUAGCCGACCUGAGAGGGUGAUCGGCCACACUGGAACUGAGACACGGUCCAGACUCCUACGGGAGGCAGCAGUAGGGAAUCUUCCGCAAUGGGCGAAAGCCUGACGGAGCAACGCCGCGUGAGUGAUGAAGGUCUUCGGAUCGUAAAACUCUGUUAUUAGGGAAGAACAAAUGUGUAAGUAACUGUGCACGUCUUGACGGUACCUAAUCAGAAAGCCACGGCUAACCACGUG